rnacentral:rRNA from 1 species
CCUACGGGGUGCAGCAGUCGAGAAUCAUUCACAAUGGGGGAAACCCUGAUGGUGCGACGCCGCGUGGGGGAAUGAAGGUCUUCGGAUUGUAAACCCCUGUCAUGUGGGAGCAAAUUAAAAAGAUAGUACCCCAAGAGGAAGAGACGGCUAACUCUGUGCCAGCAGCCGCGGUAAUACAGAGGUCUCAAGAGUUGUUCGGAAUCACUGGGCGUAAAGCGUGCGUAGGCUGUUUCGUAAGUCGUGUGUGAAAGGCGCGGGCUCAACCCGCGGACGGCACAUGAUACUGCGAGACUAGAGUAAUGGAGGGGGAACCGGAAUUCUCGGUGUAGCAGUGAAAUGCGUAGAUAGCGAGAGGAACACUCGUGGCGAAGGCGGGUUCCUGGACAUUAACUGAUGCUGAGGCACGAAGGCCAGGGGAGCGAAAGGGAUUAGAUACCCGGGUAGUC